AUUGAACGCUGGCGGCAGGCCUAACACAUGCAAGUCGAGCGGAUGAAGGGAGCUUGCUCCUGGAUUCAGCGGCGGACGGGUGAGUAAUGACUAGGAAUCUGCCUGGCAGUGGGGGAUAACGUCCGGAAACGGGCGCUAAUACCGCAUACGUCCUGAGGGAGAAAGUGGGGGAUCUUCGGACCUCACGCUAUCAGAUGAGCCUAGGUCGGAUUAGCUAGUUGGUGGGGUAAAGGCCUACCAAGGCGACGAUCCGUAACUGGUCUGAGAGGAUGAUCAGUCACACUGGAACUGAGACACGGUCCAGACUCCUACGGGAGGCAGCAGUGGGGAAUAUUGGACAAUGGGCGAAAGCCUGAUCCAGCCAUGCCGCGUGUGUGAAGAAGGUCUUCGGAUUGUAAAGCACUUUAAGUUGGGAGGAAGGGCAGUAAGUUAAUACCUUGCUGUUUUGACGUUACCAACAGAAUAAGCACCGGCUAACUUCGUG
rnacentral:rRNA from 1 species